UAACACGUAACCGACCUGCCCAUCGGUCUGGGAUAGCCCUUCGAAAGGAGGAGUAAUACCGGAUGGCCUCAUAUUUAUGCAUGUAGAUAUGAGUAAAGCUUCAUGUGCCGAUGGAGGGGGUUGCGGCCUAUCAGCUGGUUGGUGAGGUAACGGCUCACCAAGGCGACGACGGGUAGCUGGUCCGAGAGGAUGGUCAGCCGGAUUGGGACUGAGACACGGCCCAA
rnacentral:rRNA from 1 species